CACUCGUAGCGAGACUGCCGGUAAUAAACCGGAGGAAGUGGGGAUGACGUCAAAUCAUCAUGCCCCUUAUGACCUGGGCUACACACGUGCUACAAUGGUUGGUACAACGAGUUGCGAGUCGGUGACGGCGAGCUAAUCUCUUAAAGCCAAUCUCAGUUCGGAUUGUAGGCUGCAACUCGCCUACAUGAAGUCGGAAUCGCUAGUAAUCGCGGAUCAGCACGCCGCGGUGAAUACGUUCCCGGGCCUU
rnacentral:rRNA from 1 species